rnacentral:rRNA from 1 species
CAGUCGCCGCGGUAAUACGUAGGUGGCGAGCGUUGUCCGGAUUUAUUGGGCGUAAAGGGAGUGUAGGCGGUCUUUUAAGUCUGAUGUGAAAGCCCACGGCUCAACCGUGGAGGGUCAUUGGAAACUGGGAGACUUGAGUGCAGAAGAGGAGAGCGGAAUUCCAUGUGUAGCGGUGAAAUGCGUAGAGAUGUGGAGGAACACCAGUGGCGAAGGCGACUCUCUGGUCUGUAACUGACGCUGAGGAGCGAAAGCGUGGGGAGCGAACAGGAUUAGAUACCCGUGUAGUCCCUGUCUCUUAUAU